GACGAACGCUGGCGGCGUGCUUAACACAUGCAAGUCGAACGAUGAACCCGGAGCUUGCUCCGGCGGAUUGGUGGCGAACGGGUGAGUAACACGUGAGUAACCUGCCCUUGACUCUGGGAUAACUGCUAGAAAUGGUAGCUAAUACCGGAUACGACCCUCGGUGGCAUCACCAGGGGGUGGAAAGAAUUUCGGUCAAGGAUGGACUCGGCGCCUAUCAGCUAGUUGGUGAGGUAACGGCGCACCAAGGCGACGACGUGUAGCGGGCCUGAGCGGGUGCCCGCGCACACUGAGACAGUCAAACGGCCCAGACUCCUCCGGGAGGCAGCAGUUGGGAAUACUGCACAAUGGGCGCAAGCCGGCUGCAGCAACGCCGCGUGAGGGAUGACGGCCUUCGGGUUGUAAACCUCUUUUAGUGGGGAAGACGCGCAAGUGACGGUACCUGCAGAAAAAGCACCGGCUAACUACGUGCCAGCCGCCGCGGUAA
rnacentral:rRNA from 1 species